rfam:Methanosaeta thermophila PT, complete genome.
AUUAAGCUGCUGAUAUGCCAGCCGGGGGAUGGCUCGGCUCGAGCGCUGAUGAAGGGCGUGCCAAGCUGCGAUAAGCCCCGGCGAGGCGCAGGGAGCCUUUGAACCGGGGAUGCCCUAAUGGGAAAUCCCAGUUUCAUGCUGAUCCGUAAGGAUCGGGAACGCCCCGGAUUGAAACAUCUUAGUAGGGGCAGGAGAAGAAAUCAAAACGAGAUGCCGUCAGUAACGGCGAGUGAACGCGGCAGAGCCCAAACCGAAUCCCGAAAGGGAGAUGUGGUGUGAUAAGCACCGCUCAUAACGGUCUGGCAAGGGAAUCCGAAGUGGCCUGGAACGGCCCGCCAAAGAGUGUGAUAGCCACGUAGGAGCAACCAAGCCGGAUCCGAGCGGCGUCUUGAGUACCGUGAGUCGGAUAUCUCGCGGGAAGUUGGGGGUCACCAACCUCCAAGGCUAAAUACGUCUCGAGACCGAUAGCGCAGUAGUAGGGUGACCUAAAGCUGAAAAGAACCCUGGAUAGGGGUGUGAAAAGAGCCUGAAAUCGGCUGGCGAUGGUGCGUCACGGCAUGUGAGGACCUUCAGGCCGAAGGAGGUCGUCGCGAGGCGACAGUACGAGGCCUGAUGCCGGUGUCGUGACUUACGUUUUGAAGAACGGACCAAGGAGUGCAUCUGGCUGGCAAGGUUAAUCUCGAAAGAGAGUAGCCGAAGCGAAAGCGACAUGCGCGCAUCGAUGAGAGAGGCGCGGCGUAUGAAAGUGCGCGGAGUCAGCUGGAUGCGACCCGAAGCCGGGCGAUCUAGGCGUGGGCAGGUUGAAGCGUGGCGAAAGCUGCGUGGAGGACCGCUAGCGGUGCUGAUAUGCAAAUCGCUCGCGUGACCUGCGUCUAGGGGUGAAAGUCCAAUCGAGCCCGGAAAUAGCUGGUUCCUCCCGAAACAUGUCGCAGCAUGACCUGGCCGGAGGCAGUCGGCGGAGUAGAGCACUGAUUGGGGAUCCCGGGCGGGAAACCGCUCGCUCUCCUGUCAAACUCCCAACACGCCGUCGCCUUAGAUGGCCGGAAGUCCGGGCUGGUGGGUAAGCUACUAGUCCGUGAGGGAGACAACCCAGACCGUGGUUAAGGUCCCAAAAUGUCGGCUAAGUGUUAACACUGAAGGGCGUCCUAGACCUAAGACAACUGGGAGGUUAGCUUAGAAGCAGCUACCCUUUAAAGAGUGCGUAACAGCUCACCAGUCGAGGCCUAGGGCCCCGAAAAUGGACGGGGCUAAGCCGACUACCGAUACCACGGAGCGCCGCAAGGCGAUCUGGUAGGGAGGCGCCGCGCGUGGGUGGAAGCAACUCCGUGAGGAGUCGUGGACCACGCGGGGACGAAAAUCUUGGUAGCAGUAGCAGCAAAGUCGGGUGAGAAUCCCGACCGCCGUAAGGGCCAGGGUUCCUGGGCAACGAUCGUCAGCCCAGGGUUAGUCGGUCCUAAGGUGUGCCGUAACUCGAGCACAUCAAAUGGGAAACAGGUUAAUAUUCCUGUACCUACCGGCACUAAAACCGACGCUUCCGGAUAUGCCUGACACCCGCGCCAGGGUGCUCAAGCGCCGAAGUCCGCGGAGAGCCGUCAUGGCGAGAAACGGACGAAUGCGUGAUGACGCAAGCAGGCAAAUUCCGGGAGCCCGUGAAAAGGGAGCCGGAGGCCGUACCGAGAACCAACACUGGUGCCCCGAGCUAAGAAGGCUCAGGCGUGUCGGAAGUAAUCCGGCUAAGGGAAUUCGGCAAAUUAGCCACGUAACUUCGGGAUAAGUGGUGCCUGCUUCGCAAGAAGCAGGUCGCAGUGACGAGGGGGCUCUGACUGUCUAAUAACAACAUAGGUGGUUGCAGACCCGAAAGGGCAAGUACAACCACUGAAUCCUGCCCAGUGCGGGUACCUGAAAACCCGGUACAACGGGAAGAAGGGCCCGUCAACGGCGGGGGUAACUAUGACCCUCUUAAGGUAGCGUAGUACCUUGCCGCUUAAUUGGCGGCUCGCAUGAAUGGAUCAACGAGAGCCCCACUGUCCCUAGCCGGAACCCGGUGAACCUUACGUCCCAGUGCAGAGUCUGGGGACCCCUGAUGGGAAGUGAAGACCCCGUGGAGCUUUACUGCAGCCUGCCGCUGGGUUGUGGUUCUGGAUGUAGAGCAUAGGUAGGAGGCGUCGAAACCCGGGCGCCAGCUCGGGCGGAGCCACCACUGGAAUACUACCCUUCUGGAACUACCACCCUAACUCCGAAAGGAGGACACCGGUAGGUGGGCAGUUUGGGUGGGGCGCCACUCCCUAGAAAAGAUAUCUAGGGAGCCCUAAGGUCGACUCAGUUGGGUCGGAAACCCAACAAAGAGUGUAAAAGCAUAAGUCGGCCUGACGUCAUCCCGCAUAGCAAAGGAUGACGAGACGAAAGUCGGGUUUAGCGAACCUCUCAGCCCCCUUGGUGGGGGCGUUAGAUGACAGAAAAGCUACCCCGGGGAUAACAGAGUCGUCACCGGCAAGAGCACAUAUCGACCCGGUGGCUUGCUACCUCGAUGUCGGUUCUCUCCAUCCUGGCCGUGCAGCAGCGGCCAAGGGUGAGGUUGUUCGCCUAUUAAAGGAGAUCGUGAGCUGGGUUUAGACCGUCGUGAGACAGGUCGGUUACUAUCUGUCAGGGGUGCUUCGCGGUCUGAGGGCAGGCUGGCUUUAGUACGAGAGGAACAAGCCAGCGGCGCCACUGGUCGAUCGGUUGUCUGGCAAGGCACGGCCGAGCAGCUACGCGCCACAGGGAUAAGGGCUGAAAGCAUCUAAGCCCGAAACCCAACCCGAAAAGAGACCGCUCCAAGGGCCCUCGUAAAAGACGAGUUCGAUAGAGUCGGGGUGUACGCACCAAGGCAACGAGGUGCUCAGCCCGCGACCACUAACCGCCCAAGCAGCCGCCC